AUUGAACGCUGGCGGCAGGCCUAACACAUGCAAGUCGAGCGGAGCGGCGGACGGGUGCGUAAUGCUUAGGAAUCUGCCUGGUCGUGGGGGAUAACGACCGGAAACGGGCGCUAAUACCGCAUACUCUCAGCUGAGCCUAAGCCGGAGUAGCUUGUUGGUGUGGGAAAGGCCUACCAAGGCGACGAUCCGUAACUGGUCUGAGAGGAGGAUCAUUCACACUGGAACUGAGACACGGUCCAGACUCCUACGGGAGGCAGCAGUGGGGAAUAUUUGACAAUGGGCGAAAGCCUGAUCCAGCCAUGCCGCGUGUGUGAAGAAGGUCUUCGGAUUGUAAAGCACUUUAAGUUGGGAGGCGUUACCAACAGAAUAAGCACCGGCUAACUUCGUGCCAGCAGCCGCGGUAAUUC
rnacentral:rRNA from 1 species